rnacentral:rRNA from 1 species
GACGAACGCUGGCGGCGUGCCUAAUACAUGCAAGUAGGACGCAGUUGCGAACGGGUGAGUAACGCGUAGGUAACUACCUAUUAGAGGGGGAUAACUAUUGGAAACGAUAGCUAAUACCGCAUACUAGUAGAUGGACCUUCGUUGUAUUAGCUAGUAGGUAGGGGAAUGGCCUACCUAGGCACCGAUACAUAGCCGACCUGAGAGGGGGGUCGGCCACCACGGGACCUGGACACGGCCCAGACUCCUACGGGAGGCAGCAGGAGGGAAUCUCCGGCAAUGGGGGGAACCCUGACCGAGCAAAGCCGGGUGAGGGAAGAAGGUUUUCGGAUCGUAAAGCUCUGUUGUUAAGGAAGCGUUACUUAACCAGAAAGGGACGGCUAACUACGUGCCAGCAGCCGCGGUAAUUC